GUUAUUUUCUCAAAUUUGUAUCAUUUUUUGAAAAUACUUGAAUAUUUAUUAAACUGACCAUUUUAUUAUUUUAAUGAAAUCUACGUACAAUUCCCAAUAAUACUGUAUACAUUUCAGCCCUUCCAUUAACUUGUUCACCUGGUGCAAUAUUGACAAUAAUGAAUCAAGGGAGACGAAAAACAUUGAAAAAACAAAGUGUUACUGAACCUCAAGUUAUUACUACCUACAACAAUCACUCUUAAAGACUUACAAUUUAAAAUACGGAAGUUGUGUAGUGUUGCAAUAUUACAAUAACGUAUUAUUGUCUACAUCCUGGGCCUGAACAACACAUGAAUAAAUAUACAAAGUAAAUAUACAUAACAACUGCUAUUUGUUACCAACAACUUGAGGUCAUUCUUAUCAAACUUCUGAUUGGUAUUCAUCAACACGAAUCAGGCAUUAAAUAAACCUAUUGUGUCUGAAUCAUAUACAGUUUAAAUUAUUAUAAGCAUUUAUAUUAUUGUUUCCACACAUCAUAAUGGCCUUCUGAAAAUGUAUAUCAGCUAACAGUACAUCAUUGAUUUAGCAGGAUGCAAUUGAUGGCUAUCCAGCGACAACACC